AUAGCGUAUAUUAAAGUUGUUGUGGUUAAAAAGCUCGUAGUUGAACCUUGGGCCUGGCUGGCCGGUCCGCCUCACCGCGUGUACUGGUCCGGCCGGGCCUUUCCCUCUGUGGAACCCCAUGCCCUUCACUGGGUGUGGGGGGGAAACAGGACUUUUACUUUGAAAAAAUUAGAGUGUUCAAAGCAGGCCUACGCCCGGAUACAUUAGCAUGGAAUAAUAAAAUAGGACGUGUGGUUCUAUUUUGUUGGUUUCUAGAGCCGCCGUAAUGAUUAAUAGGGAUAGUCGGGGGCAUCAGUAUUCAAUUGUCAGAGGUGAAAUUCUUGGAUUUAUUGAAGACUAACUACUG
rnacentral:rRNA from 1 species